rnacentral:tRNA from 1 species
CCUGAGCCAGAGUGUCGGUGACCAGGGCGUGCCGGGACCGGAUCGGCUCGGACGAGACCGGCGCGGCCGGCGUCUGCUCGGCGGCGGGCUGCUCGGGA